GUGGGGAAUAUUGGACAAUGGGCGCAAGCCUGAUCCAGCCAUGCCGCGUGAGUGAUGAAGGCCUUCGGGUUGUAAAGCUCUUUAGCCGAUGAUUAUAAUGACUGUAGUCGGAAAAUAAGCCCCGGCUAACUUCGUGCCAGCAGCCGCGGUAAUACGAAGGGGGCGAGCGUUAUUCGGAAUCACUGGGCGUAAAGCGUGCGUAGGCGGCUUUGCAAGUUGGGAGUGAAAGCCCAGGGCUCAACCCUGGAAUUGCUCUCAAAACUGCAAGGCUCGAAUUCGGGAGAGGAUAGCGGAAUUGUCAGUGUAGCAGUGAAAUGCGUAGAUAUUGACAGGAACACCAGUGGCGUAAGCGGCUAUCUGGACCGAUAUUGACGCUGAGGCACGAAAGCGUGGGGAUCAAACAGGAUUAGAAACCCGAGUAGUCC
rnacentral:rRNA from 1 species